rnacentral:rRNA from 1 species
UACAGAGGUCCCAAGCGUUGUUCGGAUUCACUGGGCGUAAAGGGUGCGUAGGUGGUGGGGUAAGUCGGAUGUGAAAGCUCGGAGCUCAACUCCGAAAUGGCAUUGGAAACUACCCUGCUAGAGGAUUGGAGGGGGGACUGGAAUACUUGGUGUAGCAGUGAAAUGCGUAGAUAUCAAGUGGAACACCAGUGGCGAAGGCGGCUCACUGGCCCGGUACUGACGCUGAGGUGCGAAAGCGUGGGGAGCAAACAGG